UUCUAUUUGAGUUAAAAGUGAUUUCUAAAAAUUAUAUAAAAAUAAACAUAAACAAAUAAAUCAUAGAUAUUUGGAUAGAAAUUAAAAAUCUAGUCUAGCUUAGGGUAAUUUUUAAAAUAUGAUACGAAAAUAAAAUAAACAAAUAGAUUUUAAAUAAAUGUAUAUAUAUGAACUUGGUUCUGAUUCUAAAUAUAAUGAGUAACUAAAAAAAACACAUGGUUUUUAUUGAGAGAAGCGAGGUAAAAAGAAAAAUAAAAUAAUUAAUAAUAAAAUUUAUUUCACUUUCUAAAAUAUUAUAUAAUAAAUAAUGUUUUGAAUCUUCCGCUAACACCAGUGUUAAAGAUUAAUUAAAAAGCGAAAGCUUGUAUUAGUUUAGUAAACAAAAUUUGGUUAAUUUGGUGCCAGCAUCCGCGGUUAUACCAAAAAAUUAAGUUAUAUAGUUUAGGUAAAAAGACAGUUAAAUAAGAUAAAGUCUAUUAAAUUUUAAUAUAGGGGUGAAAUCCGGUUAUUAAUGAAAAAUCUAAUUGUGACUUAUAAAAUUGAAUCUGUGACAGCCUUAAGGGAAACUGGGAUUGGAUACCCCAUUAUUUUUGUUGUAAAAUUAAUUAAUAAAAUUUACCAGAGAACUACGAAUAAAAUAAAUUUAAAACUCAAAGAACCUGGCGGUAUUUUAGACCAUUUAGGGGAACCUGUCUAAUAAUCGAUAAUCCACGUUAAACCUGAUCUUCUUUUGUAAUACAACCUGUAUACCAUCGUCGUCAGGUAACCUUUAAAAGUUCAAAAGUUAGCCAGAAAAUCAUAAAUUAAAACGUCAGAUCAAGGUGCAGUUUAUAAGAAGGGAAAGGAUGGGUUACAAUUAAAAAUUUUUAAUCACGAAAAGCUUUUAGAACUAAAGGUUUGAAGGAGGACUUAAAAGUAAUUUUAUUUAUAAAAAUAAUUUGAAUUAGGCUCUAAAAUGCGUACAUAUCGCCCGUCGCUCUCGUUGAAAAAUGAGAUAAGUCGUAACAUAGUAGGGGUAAUGGAAAUUGUCCCUAGGUG
rnacentral:ncRNA from 1 species